UCCAAGCCGGCCCAGCGCGGCCCACCUUCUCCGGCGAGAUGCGCACCACCCGAGCAGUCGCCCCACCCUCCCCACCUUCUCUGCGCGCUGCGUCCUACCCGAAACGAAUCCCGGCUUCCUCGCCUCCUUCUGCUCCCGGCCGGCGCCGCCCCGACUCCUCUACCUCCUGGUCGGCAUCAUCGCACCUUCUAUUCGUCACCCCGACCACCUACUCCGGUCACACCUCCCCCAACCCCGCCGCCGGGCACUGCCCCACCACCUCCACUGCAUCGUGCUGCUGUCGCCCUUGCUCGCGGGCCCCCCUCCACCUUCUCCAAUCACGGCCCCUACCACUACCUCCUACCACUUCGCUUCGCCGCCGGCCAGCGGGGGAGCCGGAUCCCCACGCCACCAGGGCUACCGUGAGCCAUCUCCGUCCUCCUAGAUACCAACUCCCCCAGCCAGCGCCGCCCAACCCCUGGCCACUCGCCCCUCCCCCUCAGCUGCGUGGUGGCCGACGACUCCGGUGGCUCUCCGUCCACGGAUUCGGCCGUCCCCCGACCACCGGACCACGGGCAGUGAGUUCCUCAGGUGAGAUCUCCGACGAGAUCUCCUGCAUCCCCUUCCCUCCUGUGAGCUGGCCUGAAGACAGUCGAGGCUCCCGAUGCAGUUUGAUUUCGUGGGUGGCGUCGUGCGGUGUGUGUGUCUUGCAGCUCAGAGCGAGCGGGCAUGCAGCUCUGAACGAUUCGGCCGCCUGCACACACUGAAUCCAUCUCAGUCCCGCGAGCGGCAGUAGCUACGGGAGCAUAGCAGCAGGUGGCGGUGUCCCAAGGAGGUCGUUUGAUCCAUUGCUCGUGGCCUCCGCUUGCUCCGCCGCUAGCUGCUAUCUCUAAACAUCAUAGCUUCUGCUCCCGACUGCAGCUUGUUUGUGCGCACAAAGAAGAAAUAAAAGGGAAAAGGCACAUACGGUGGUGGAAGGAUAAGAAGUGUGUGGCGAGGCUAGUCUAUGGAUGAAAUCUUUGCAUCUUUUUCAGCUCAUCCAGCAUGCUCUGCUCUAUAGGACGGUGAUCGCAGGCUGUUCGCUUCUGUUUGCGCAGGAUAUUGUGCAAAAUUCCCAGUUUUUUGUGGUUUGCUCGCUAUGUAAAAAAUGCAGUUUAUUUGUAACGAUGCUUGUGGUUUGCUUGCUAUUUAAAAAGUGUAGUCCAUCCCAUCGGUCAUGUUUUUUGAGAAAACAAUUUGUAUUGUCACACAUGGUGGUUUCACUUAUGUGUAUGCUUGCAAUGCGGUGUGUGUAUGCGUGCAGUGCGCUCCUGUGGUUUCCUUUGUAACGACAAUAAAAAACCAUCACACAGAAGUUAAUUUCCUUUUA